CUUGAGGAGCUCCCUGCCCUGACGGAACGCUCAGUGGCACUGCCCUGCUUGGUAUGUACGUGGAGGACUUACCCAAGGGCAGCUCCCAUUGACUCGCUGUGGCUGGGUUCAGGACACUCGGUGUCUGACCACAGGCUUGCCCCCGUGGCCAGCAGCCCGGGCAGCACCAGUUCUAGUGCUGUGGUACUCAGAGUCAGGUGUUCCCGUCUGUCCUUUAUGACCAAUAAGUCUUGGCCUGCCUCCUCUGGGUGGCGGCAUGUCCUCUUGGAGGGAAACUGAGCUGGGGGCCUUGGUGACAUCAACAGCUCUGGGAUGAGUGAGGGGUGCUUUCCAGACAGAGUGGUGUAGGGACAUGGAUCUCCUGGUCCACUGGCUCGACCCCAGGAGGAUUGGGGAGCUGUGCCAGCUGGGAUGAGAGGCCAUGGGGUGGCUCCGGGGCUGCAUGCUGGGACUCGAUUGUCCACUGGCUUUGUUCAUCUCAGGGAGUGUGGGUGGCCUCUGUUUCAGCAUCACCACUUCCACUUCCAAAGUCCUACGGCAGCUUCUUGGAAGAGAGGUUGAUGGCAGCCUCAGAUGAGAGCUUGCCCCAUUCUGGCCUCAGUGGACACACAGAGGACCAAGACACCUCUAGAAAACAGUGGCUGUCUGUGUCAGGAGGUCCACGGGGACAGACUGCCCAAGAUGUGGCUCUCCUGAUCUGCACAGUCAGCUGGCAGAAUAUGUCCCCCCUGUGUCCUGGGUACAACACAGGCCACCUCAGCCUCAGGCCUCCUAGAAGGGACUCUGGUUCUGAGUCACCUGGGGGGUAUGAGGAGCGGCUGUCCAGGGGUGUCUGAGGGACGCUGACAGCUCCUGUCUUCUUUCAGAAGCAGCCUCCCUUCCCACCUCGGGGGACUUCCGAGCCCCACCGCUCUGUCAGGGAUGCACUGUCACCUGCACCGCCCUGGGACGUCCCAGGCAGGUCCCGGGCACAGCCUCUUGGUGAUGGCACCUGUCUCCUCUGUACUGACAUCCUCUGUCUUUCUUUUGCAGGAAGAUGACCUGGCAGCUGGCAGAGAUACAGGACGUCGGCAUCUGGCCUGAGGGCCCAAAGGGAGGUUUCCUGACACGGCUGCUCUGGGGCGGAGGCUAAAAGUCGACCCCUUUUUAACAUGAAACACAUCCUCAGGGUCUUGCUGUGGGUGUAGAAUCAGGAUGCAGUGUCUGCCCUGGCCGAGGGCGUGUGAGCAGGUGGUGUGCCAGGUGGAAAGUGUUCCCUUGAUUUAAUUUUCACUUUGAGAAUUGAGGCUAGAUGGAGUGAACUGCCCUGUAAUCUUGUUUCUGAAGGUAAAUCUACACAUUAAAAAUCGGGCUUUAGAAUGGCAAUUUCUUUUUAAAGAACUGACGAUGAAAUGUGAACAAAACCACGCUUAAGCUGGCUUCAGACUCGUGAGAAGAGUCCCCCUCAUCCCUGGGCUUCCGAAGCUUAGCUCUCAGGAGGAGAGACCAGGCACUGGCAGAGGCUGAGAAAAUGUGCUGGGGACAGGAGGCGAAGAGGGGUUUCAUGAACACACAGUGGGGUCCUGAGGCUCCCUUACUCAGCUGAUGUUAAUGAGACCUUGUUGCAAUAACGCUUUCCUUUUUAAAGGCCAGACUCCUUUUAGCUUGAGGGAGCGAUUCCAGAUGACUGAUAGAAAGGGCCACCCCAGCCCCUCAAGGGGCUUGUCCUCUCUCUCCUAGUUGGCCUCUGGCUGAUGUCCCCUGGGUCUCCUGGAGGCCUUGCCCCUGCUACUUAGGCUGCUCCUCAGGAUCUGUGGACCAGCACCUGAUUUCAAGCAGGGCCGUUUCGGGACUGGUAGGCUUUGAAGGUGACAGUGACACCCAGAGCUGAUGAACGAGUGAGCGGAUGCUAACUAACCUCUGGGACCACAACUGCCAUUUUGGCCACUCAGGAUGCUCAGAGAGUGAUGCCCAGUCCUUGGAAAGACAGUGGGUGGACGGGCACUGUGCCCAGGGUCCCUGACAAGGGGACUUGGUGCAGCACUACAUUUGUCCAGGGCCCCUGGCAUCUGCUUUUAAGUUAAGAAAGAAAGUGCCACCACCGUCGGCCUGCCGGGAGUCACUCCUCGAUAGCAUGCUCACAGCGUCAGGCCUUGCUUGCAGGAACUUCCAGAGCAGCUUAGAGAGUUCUGACCACGAUGGGGCAUGCACGAGUGAUGUGUGGUUGCAGAGAAGACAGACUUUGUCGCUGAGCCCAUCCAGUCCCCUAACCAGCCAUGUCUCACUUGUUCUUCACAGGGCUUCUCGGAGGUCAUCACACCUGGGGAGGCUGCUUCGUGCCUGGUAGGUGACACUAGCUCAUCUAGGUGUCCUAGCUCUUGCUAGAUAGAUGAUGGCUGUCCCCCAGCCCGCUCAUCUCCUGGCCCGGGGGCCUCCUUAGCAGGGAUGCUGGACUCUGCCUGGUGAGCAGCAGACAUGAGACUUUUUUGAACCAGUUCCAACUUUGGAGAAGUGAGAUUGGUCUCGGUUCCUCUGUGUGGUCUUUGAAUGGUCGCCAUUCUUUUGUGAAGAACGUCACUUGGCCCAUUUGUCCUCAGCACCAAAUCUGUUUUCAGGAGGACUUCCUGGUGGUGGUGGUGGCAGUCUUGCUGAAGAUGGAAACUGAACUUGAAACUCUGGUGCUUGGUGUGGUCCUCUGGGAGGCACGUUUUUCCGAGAAUUCACAGUACCUCUUUUGUCUGUACGUCGCCACUGAACGCAGCCCAUUGGAGCCUUCUGGACUCAAACCUCACUUUCCGGAAGGUUCUUUGUCAUCCUUACUCCCCAAGGUACGUGAAGGGAUGCUCCAGCUCAUGCUUUGGUAGGAUCUCUGUCGCUGCUGCUUCAGGAGGGCUGCAUGGAGAUGACGCUGGCUCUGGGGACCCUGCAGGGUUUUUCUUUUUGUCCUUGACAUUUUUAGAACGGAAAGGGUAGAAUCCCUAGUCUGCUGGCUUUUUUUUAUGGGGAACUGUUUGAAAGUUCUGCUUUUCCAGAAUGAAAUGUUGCCAUGAGUUUUCGUGAGGGCACAGACGUUAGGGUGUCCCCUACCAGGACAAGUGGCAGCCAGGCUGACCCAGAUCCUAUGCCUAGUCAUGGGUCCACCAAGUGGACCACAGAGAUGGGGCUGGCAUCCCAGCUCCUACGGGGAGGCCAGAAUGUGCUGCCACCUCCAGUGGUCAGUCCUGACGCCCUGCGUGCAGGUUGGUGCCUCCACAGUAGCUUAGAUUCUGAUCCCCAAGGGGUGGGUGUUCCUUCCAUGUUUACAAGAUUCAUGGUUAAACAUAGAUGGAAGACCCACCUAAAAGUUGUUUUCCAGAGAGUCCUGACCUCAGAACCCCUCAGGGAGCAGAUGGUAGGCACAUCCCAGAGCCUCUGCUUCUGUUGGCAAGGCUUGUCGUUGGGACCCCUGUCCUCCAGGGCUCGGCAUCCCUGCCGCCAUCCCACGAGGCCUGUGCUGAGGGGGCCUGUCCUGUGUGACCUUUGCUUCUGGCGGAUUGUGCUAAGGCUCAUGCUUUCCGGGACUAAACCCAUUUUUGGUAUUUAAAAGGUGGAUAUUCCUUCUAUGUUUAUGUUGUUAUGAUUAAACAUAGAGGAAAUUCCACGUUUUCAGUAUCAAAUGCUGCUUGGGAACGGCCUGGACUGGAGCUGCCAUCAGGGAGACUGUAGGUGCCCCUCGGGGUAAGUGCACCAAGGGUGGACCUCAGAGCAUGUGCUUGGUUUGUGCCAUAUGUCUGGGGGCCACCCGCUUGUCUUAGGAGACCCCCGCUCGUGCUGCCCGCUGGGCACAGGGGCGAGGCUGUUGUCACAGCCUCCGACGGCCCAUCUCUCUUGUGCAGCGUCCCUGGUGCUUCCGAUGGACUGUGCCUAGUCCACACCUUGCAGGAUUAAGUCUUCUUUGGUAUUUAAAAGGUAGAUUUUCUUUCUAUGGUUACGUGUUUGAUGGUUAAUCAUAGAGGAAAAUCCACGUUUUCAGUAUCAAAUGCGGCCCUGGGAACUCGCGUGUGGGACAAAACCCGUCCUCAGAGAGGCGAGGCGGGUGCAGCCUCGGGUAAGUGCACAGAUGGGGGACGUGUGCCCCGCAUCCUGCCACGCGUCUGCCGUCGGUCACCUUUAGGCGCCCCCUCACGGAGGAGCCCGCCUGGCAGAGGCCAGGCACCCUGUCACCUUGGCAGUGCUGGGGACGGAGAACGGGCGCUCUUGGGUGUGCUGUGAUGAGCUGGGCCAGAUUUUCCCUUCCAGGACUCAGUCCUCCUUUGGUAUUUAAAAGGUGGAUAUUCCUUCUAUGUUUACGUGAUUCUUGAUUAAUCAUAGAGGAAAAUCCAUGUUUUCAGUAUCAAAUGCUGCUUUGGAAGUAUUUCUGGAAGAGGCUGUAGGGCCCAGGUGGGCGUAAAGAUGGGGGAACCCGUGUCACGUCAUCGUAAUGGACGGGUGCUGAGCGGCCGAUGUGGCGAGCGCGUUGGUGGGUUGUGGCUCCUGCUCUUUGGGGAAGCCCGCCCGCUCUAUGGAGUUUCAUUUUUGACGACACAAGCGCAGAUUCACGUUUUCCGGGAUGCAAUCUUUCUUUGGUAUUUAAAAGGUAGAUUCUCCUUCUAUGAGUACAUUAUUUAUGAUUAAUCAUAGAGGAAAAUCCACGUUUUCAGUAUCAAAUGCUGCUUGGAAACCUCCGUCGAUGGGAAGGGCCGUGGAAAGGAGGGUGCGUCGUGCACCUCCCGGGUGCAGCCGCGCACAGGCAGAGGUUGGGCUUUGGUGACCCGCCUCCUGCCCUGCGCAGGUUUCUUUCUUGCCUGGGUUACAUAAGCACGGGGAGGAGGCUGUGAUCUCAGUAAGGUCCCAGUGACCCUGAACAAAGCCCAUUCCCUGGGUGUCACCACGUCUGGGAUGUUCUCGGGUUUCCUCUUCUGUUACCAGUGCCACUGUAGCGGAUACCUGGGUGGGCUGUGGGUUUCAGGAAGGGGCCCCGUGGGGGUCAGGGCGGGCUUUGGGGUGUGGAGGGCUGGACGGGUGCGUGUCCUGGCUCACACCUCGCCCGGGCUCUGCCCCCUAACUCUGCCUACCCAUCUGUUUGUUCAGGGCCACUCCUGGAGCUGCUGCCCACUUUGCCACAGGGAGUGACUCUGCUGUCAGUGCUAUCGUUUGCUACUUGAAGAGAGGUUAUCCUUUGUGUGUUUGCUUUACUUGCCAUGAAUAUGCAAGGGCAAGCUCUCUGCGAGGAGCAAAUCCGUCCUGAGCCACCUGGGAACAAGGCUUCCGGGAGGUCGGAGAGCCAGGACUGCUGCAGGGCCCGCAGACACGCGCUGGGCCGCCAGACUUGCCUCUUCCGGUUGUGAUCAUGUCCUCUGACCCUCCCAUCCACGCGUCCUUCCAAGAACCCUGUAGGGGAGGUGCUGUCCUUGGAGGUGGCUCGCUGUUUUCUUUGCAGAGCUGCGAUUCUGUCUAGAAAAUGCUGCCUUCCUUGGUGGGCACAGCACCCACGGGGCUGAGGCCCGGCAGGGCUGCCCAGGUGUAGGCGCACCUCCCAGAUGCAUGAGAGGCCAACAGCAAGUCAGGGCCACUUUUAAAAGUUUGUCAUGUGGCAUCCCCAACCCCCAUAUUCACCCACCCUCAGAGUGACUUUUGGACCUUAUUGUCCACUUAAAAGAAGAGGGGGCGUUGGUCUCCAGUAAGGGUGGCCCCAGAAGUGCCACUGGGAUGAGAAGGCCUGGACUGCAGGCCCCCUCCCUGUCCACAGGCAUCUGAGCAUUAAUGUUGAUGGGUCACUGAGGGUCACAGCUCAGGGCUCUCGGCGAUUUCUGAACCCAGGCCCAGGGGAAGGCUCGCCUGCCUUAGCGCUGCUGCCCGCUGCGAGGGGUGGUCACUCACGAGCUCUGAUUCCUGUUUCUCUCUCCUUUAACGAUGCAUGCUGUUGGCAGUUCCCACUCCCGCUAGCCCAUGUUCCUCAGGAGGACCUCCUGGAGGCAGUGGCUUUGGUCAGAGGCACUGAUUCUUUUGCCAGGUGGUUUUGCACACCCCAGAGGGAGGCCAGACGUUCCCCUUCCCUCUGAGCCAAGCCGUGCGGGAUGCCCGGUCUUGAAGUGAUGUUGGGAACAAAGCCAACGUCAGGGCCCGGUCACGGUGUGCAGGGUGUGGGCCCCACUCCAGAGCCAGCCAGAUGAGGCUUGUCACUGCCCACACUCGGUCCCAGGCCCCCAGGUGAAGCGUCCACUCUGGCCAGCACACAGCGUGGUCCUCACCUGCUCUGUGACCUGCUCUUUGGUACUUGAAGAGAGGAUACCCUUUGUAUGUUUACUUGAUUAAUGGCGAAUAUACAGGGGGAGACUCUUAUUUGAGUAUCAAAUUCUGUCUGGGACGCUCUUGGCUCAGCUCUACUUCAGGACGGACCUCUGACGUCAGCCCUGCUCAGGUAUGUCCAGGUGUCCUGGUCCCACAGCACUGAGCUGCUGGUGCCCGGCCCUCCCUGCACCCUAGGUGCCAGGCUCUUCCCCUGGAGGCCGUGCCCAGCUGGUGGGUGGUGAGGGCUUUCUUGCUUGCUACCGCCCGCAUGCAGUGCCGCGCUGCCUGCUUUUUAAAGGACGAGUUGCACAAGGACCUGCCCGUUCUCCGUACCAAGUCCCACCUGGAAGCUCCCUGCUCACAACUCCUGGACACAGCCGGAGGGGGACCGUGGAGCCCGUGCUGAGCGGAUGUGCUGGUCACCCUGUGGCUGCAGCCUCGAGGGGCGGUGACCUCGAUGAAAGACGUUGCUGUCACUGCCAUUCUAAGGCAAGUGACUGAGUUGAGUUCCCUGAGCCUGCUCUUGUGUUAGGAAUGUCACUUGACCCCUCUGGCCAUUCUUUGGGAACAUUGUCAAGUGGGGAUGCACCACAGUAUGCCUUUUGGGGGUGUAUGUGACCUUUGUGAUUCAGGAUCUGCUUUCUGUGUGUUCUGAGGCAGGUGCAGGUGACACGCUCUUGAGUUCAGUCAUUUCCGAGAAGGGACACUGGUGUGUGUCACCACUCAGACCCGAGAAGGACUCUGGAUGCCUCUUCUUGGAAAGCCACAUCCUCAGGUUUGUGGAGCCCAUGUGAGUCCCUUCAGAGAGAGGCAGUGUUUCCGUCCUCCGGGGCCUGGUGGUCUGAAGUGGGUUCCUGGGUGCAUGUUGACUCCGUUGAUGGCCCGGCCAUUCCCUGUCUUGGAAGUCAGUUCUGCUGGCUGCCAGGGGAUCCUGGAUCUUUCACCUUUCAAGGUGAGGUCUCAGCUCCCGAGCUGGCCAGUCACUGCCCCCUACUCUGUCCCAGGCCCCCAGGUGAAGCGUCCACUCUGGCCAGCACACAGCGUGGUCCUCACCUGCUCUGUGACCUGCUCUUUGGUACUUGAAGAGAGGAUACCCUUUGUAUGUUUACUUGAUUAAUGGCGAAUAUACAGGGGGAGACUCUUAUUUGAGUAUCAAAUUCUGUCUGGGACGUCCCCGGCUCAGCUGUACUCCAGGACGAACCCUUCAUGUCAGCCCGGCUCAGGGGCUGCUGGCUCACAGGGUCAGCCUUAGAAGGGAGCUGUGAUGUCGGACUUUCAAGGGUAGCAUGAGUGACUGAGUGACCGAGGGCCACAGAGGACCGUCACCAUCCAUGUUCACGAUGGUUUGAUGCAUAUGACAACCCAGGAGGGCCUCCCAGAAGUGCCAUCGCCUUGUGGAGCAGCCAAGGUUUGCUCGUUAAUGCUGCUCUUUGGUCUGUGGGUGGACGAUUUCCAGUUCAUGGUCCCUGAGACAAAUCUGUAAGACCUAUUUGUGUUUGUCAUUUGUCAUUUCAAGUCCGGCCUGCGAUGGUGUCCUGCACAGGAAGCUGUCCCUGGGAACAAGCUGUGAGGGCCAUCAGCCCUGCACCAGGACAACAGCCUGAAGAAGCUGCUCUGGGUCUGGGUUGGCGGAGGCAUUUCUGGGGACAUGUGACCGUCUGCUUUCAUGCUCUGCGUGCCCCAGAGUCUUGUGGACCUGAGCCAGCGUCCGGCAGGGCAUCUGCAGCCGUCUAAGGGACACGACCGUCCUGUGGAGGAGGUGAGUGUCCCACCUGGCAGCGGAGCUCCAGCUCACCGGUCACAGCCACCACCUGCUCUUUUCUUAAGGGUGUCUCCGGGGCUGAUGCCCCUGAGUGGGGAGCUGUUUUCUCCAUUUUCACAGUGGUACACGGCUUCUCCAUUCAGAAGCAACUCUUCCCCAGCCUGACUUCAUGGACAUGAUGUCAGCCUCUCUGCGAGGAAGUUAGGACAGGAGCUGGCCCUGGGGAGACAUUUGUCAGUGCCUCUAUGGGAGGUAGAAAGGAAAGUGACCACAGGGCCUUAGCUCUACCCGCCAUGUAGAUUUGCUGGGUCCCUUACCCUCUGAGUACAAUGCAUCAUCAGGGAAACUUCUAGAGGAGGUGCCUACACUAGAGACAGUGGUCCCUCUCCCGGGGGGGUCCUGUAGACAGUGAGAGGCCGAGCACCCUGUGCACGUCCUUCAAUGGCACCUGCUGAGGCAGUAAAGCCAGUGAUGGGGCAUCAGAGUCUGCCCUCCCUGGGUUCCUGGGAUGGAGAGCUGGCCGGUGGGCACACACCUGGCAGGUGGUGUCUGCCCCCUGGUCUGCUGAUUCCGUACCUCCCAUCCCUCCCUAGGAUGCCCACCGGGAGACGGGGCCGGCCCCCGGAAUGCUAGUGCUGACCUGCCCGUGUUGUUGUUUGGUACUUAAAGCGAGGUUGCCCUUUGUAUAUUCGGCUUAUUGACAUGGAAUAUACAAGGGCAAGCUCUCUGUGAGUAUCAAACGUUGUCUUGGACGGUGCACACUCAGCGAGGGAUGCGGUAUGUGUGUGCAUGACCGUGUGUGUUCCAUCUCGUGUGUGGAAGAUCGCAGACGGAUUCGUGGGCACAGGGACGGCUUCAUGGAAGGCCUGGGGACAUCCCCUGUCCUGAUCUUGUGUGGGUGGGCCCCAACGCAUGCACUGUGUGUGGUCUGGGUCCUUGUUCCACGCGGGCAGCCUCCAGGCGGGGCUGAGGGCCGGGUCAGUGCUGGUGUGGGGCAGUGGAUCCAUCCUCCUCCAUGACCUGAGUGUGCAUGUCGUGCUUGGUGUGUGUGACCUGGUCCACUAACCCUCAGCAUCUAAUUCAUCCCCAGGACCCCGCCUUGAAGACAUUCCGCGUCCGCCCACCCGGGGUGGUGGCUUUCUUUUCCGUGCUGACCUUUGGUACUUGGAGAGUGGUUAUCCCUGUCCUGUUCGUGUUACUCAUGUCGAAUCGUACAGGGUCAUCCACUUUUUCAGUAUCAAGAGCGCAGACUCUGGAGCCCGGUUUUCCUGUGUUUGGAUCCUGCCUCUGAUAUUUCCUAACUGCAGCCUUGAGCAAGACGCCUUCAUGCUGUGCCUGUUGUCUCUCGUGUCAAAUGGGAACUGUGUGGGUGUCUGCCUCGCAGGGGUGCCGGGGCUGAAUGAGUCCAGAUUUGGGAUAGCCUGGUGCUCGGCACUUUGUAGGGAGUGGCCCUGAUGCCACGGGCCGUGAGGUGUUAUUUCUGGUGUUGGUGAUGCUGGUGCUGAUAUCAAAAUCUCUUCUUGGGCUUUGGGGACAGUAUUGAUAUGGAAGUCACAUUCUCCAUCAGGUAUGUGAGUGGCUUAUGGAGUCAGGGCUCAUACUGUAUUUAGGAUGGGUGCCACCAAAACUCUUGAAGCGCAGCAGCUAAGCCAUUCCCCCAGAGGCUCCUGGAACACGGUGCCCAGGACAGGGGAUUGGCAGACUUGCCUCUGCAGGGUAACCAAGGAUGUUUGCUCCACUUAAGAGAUACAGGCCCUGGUUCUUGACCUCCAUCAUCUUCGAAGGGCCCUUGAGUGAGGAUGCCAGGCUGAGUAGGGUGUAGUGCUGUGGCAUCUUGCCUCCCUGGUGCAUAAAGAGAGGCCCUCCACAGCACAUGUGUCCUGCAUGCACAUAUGUCCUGCAUGCACGUGGUGCUCAUUGCAGUCACCAGCCAACACUGGGCCAGAGUAUUGGGGGGUGCUAAUCUUUCCACCUUGCUGCUGGUCACACUGGAGGAGAAAUUAUCCUUGGUGUAUUCACUUUAUUGGGGAUGAAUCAUACAAGGACAAUUUCUUUUUGAGUAUCAAAUCCUGCCUCGGCGGACUUCCUGGACGCCAUGAGGAGUUCUGUAGACAUGCAUGUGCCAGCCUCUCCCUGGGUGGGGAGAGAGCAUGCAGCUGGCGUGAGGUGGGUGCUAUGCCCCACCCCAGGGCCCUAGAGGUGGGGCCAAGCUUGGCAUGGGGCCAGCGGGCUCCUUGGUGCUGUCACAGAUCUGCGAGGACCACGGGCCUUUCUCGUGGGUGACAGCUUAUCAAAUUCUGCUUCUUGGAAGCACCUCUUGGACAUGGAGCCAAGCUCAGGGACAGAUUAUCAGCUUAGACCCCCUUCUCCUGCCCAAGGGUGUGACUGACGCCCCCCAGGCAUGUCUUGACUCUCAGUGUGUGAAGCUCACCUACUAACCCUUCUGGUCUGGACCACUUGAGAAGAACAUGCCGGAAGAGACCCCUGUCUUUGGAGAAGAAGCCAAGGUCUCCUUUGAUGGUGCGGUUCUUUGGUGCUUAAAGAAUGGUUGUCCGUAGUAUGGUCUCUAUAUUUAUGAUGAUUAAUAUCGGACAACCAUUGUUUUAGUAUCCAAACUUGCUUCAGAAGUUUUCUCGAGCACAGUGCUGACUUCAGCAAGAGGACAUCGGUGCCUGCCCCACCACGGACUGUGACUUCACUGACAAUCUGUCAUCACUAACUCAGUGACCCCAGAAUGCAGACCACCCGUGUGAUUGCCCCGGAUUAACAUCAGCUCUGGUGUGCAGACGCCCCUGGGUUUGGGGCUGUAGUGUUCUGCUUGGAAGUUACUGACCAUCUUUCGUCUGUCUUUCUCUUCUUAGUAGAUCUCAGCCUUGAGGGAUUCCUUGUGGAGGUGUGGGGGUCGAGCACCUGUCUAGGCACAUAGAGGGUGGACUGGGGGUGUCUGACCCAGCAUCCACUGAUCCUUGGAAUCGUUCUGUGCACGGAAGACUUGCUGUGGUGGUACAGAUAGAAAUGAGAACAUUUCCGACCACCACUAGUUCUUGUUGCUCCUAAGCUGCUGCCCAUUUGGAUAUGUAGUUUAUUCUUGGUGGGCGAGACGUGGCCUCAUGCCUUCUUUGGGACCUACAUCAUCUGAGACUGUCGUCUGGAAUAAGGCAUUGUGGUCACAGCACCUCUGGGGUGGGGUGUGCCUGCGUGUCUGAGUCGUUGGCUAGAGUGCUGUUUCUCGAACUCUAGAAUGUUCCUAAGAUUUUCAUCAGCUAGGGAUCUUGUUAAAAAGCAGAUUCUGAUUCAGGGACCAAGAUUCUGCAUUUUUAGCAAGUUCUCAAGUGAUGCUAAUGCUGCUGGUCUGUGGACGACACUCGCGGCCGUUUGGGGCUGGAGAUGAUGUGCUUUAUUUGUGAUGUGUGUCCCUUGUCUCCCCACAUUCCCUUCGCCAUCCAUCACGAGGGCACUUCCUGGAAUCAAUGUGCUGUUCUUUGGGGUUUGAACUGUGGUUAUCGGUGAUGGGUUCACUUUCUGCAUAAAUGUCAUGAGAUUACUGUUCUUUAAAAUCAAAUCAUGCCUGGAAGGGCUUCCCAGAUACGAGGCCUGCUCCCGGGAGGGCCUGCCGGUGUCAACCCACUGCAAGACGUGUCGGGUGCUGGGUGCACAGAGCUUCCCCAUCACUGAGGACGCAGGCCGUCUGAUUCUGUAACACUCCAUUUCCAGUCAGUCCUAAGGAGCAAUUCCUGGAACCCAGGCCGUCUCUGCAAGAGGGAUCCUGUCCACAGGGGCCAGUGGCUCCCCGUUUUCUCAGAAGAGGUCUUAUCCAUGAUGCCUUUGCUCUCCAGGGCUGUACGUCCGUCCACCUGCCGGCUCCUGGUCAUCAGAUCCAUCUCUCAGGAAUGCUGGGGUAGUAGACUGGUUUUCUUUUUCCCCAUUGAACUCACUUAGGACACUUUCUGAGCACGGUUCCAACUGUGGGGCUUGGGUUGGUGUCAGGCCCUGGGACCAAGACGAGGUGCUGGGGUCUGAUGCCAACGUGUGUGCUUUCUUUACAGAUGGUGACCGCACGCCUCCCCACCUCCGGGAUUCAGCUCAGCCCAUGGAGGAUCUUCUAAGGCAAAGACCACAGUGGCCAGAGGCCAUGGUUUCCAUGUCAGACUAUUGAAGGAUAUUUGAGGAGAGGUUAU